rnacentral:rRNA from 1 species
GUGAACGCUGGCGGUAGGCCUAACCCCUGCAAGUCGAACGGCAGCACAGUAAGAGCUUGCUCUUACGGGUGGCGAGUGGCGGACGGGUGAGGAAUACAUCGGAAUCUACUUUUUCGUGGGGGAUAACGUAGGGAAACUUACGCUAAUACCGCAUACGACCUACGGGUGAAAGCAGGGGAUCUUCGGACCUUGCGCGAUUGAAUGAGCCGAUGUCGGAUUAGCUAGUUGGCGGGGUAAAGGCCCACCAAGGCGACGAUCCGUAGCUGGUCUGAGAGGAUGAUCAGCCACACUGGAACUGAGACACGGUCCAGACUCCUACGGGAGGCAGCAGUGGGGAAUAUUGGACAAUGGGCGCAAGCCUGAUCCAGCCAUACCGCGUGGGUGAAGAAGGCCUUCGGGUUGUAAAGCCCUUUUGUUGGGAAAGAAAAGCAGCAGGUUAAUACCCCGCUGUUCUGACGGUACCCAAAGAAUAAGCACCGGCUAACUUCGUG